rnacentral:rRNA from 1 species
AGGACGAACGCUGGCGGCGUGCUUAACACAUGCAAGUGGAGCGACGAACCAGGGCUUGCCCUGGGGCAGAGCCGCGAACGGGUGAGUAACACGUGGGUUACCUGCCUUGAUGACCGGGACAACCCGAGGAAACUCGGGCUAAUACCGGAUGUGCCCGCAAGGGGAAAGGAAGCUUCGGCCUCCGCAUCAAGAUGGGCCCGCGGCCCAUUAGCUUGUUGGUGAGGUAACGGCUCACCAAGGCUUCGAUGGGUAGCUGGUCUGAGAGGACGAUCAGCCACACUGGGACUGAGACACGGCCCAGACUCCUACGGGAGGCAGCAGUGGGGAAUCUUGCGCAAUGCGCGAAAGCGUGACGCAGCAACGCCGCGUGGGGGAAGAAGGCUUUCGGGUGUAAACCCUUUCAGUUGGGACGAAGCUUCGUCCGGUGAAUAGGCCGGACGGAGUGACGGUACCUUCACAAGAAGCACCGGCUAACUACGUGCCAGCAGCCGCGU